rnacentral:miRNA from 1 species
AAGUCAUCAACAUAAAAGUUG